CCUACGGGAGGCAGCAGGGAGGAAUAUUGGGCAAUGGGCGGACGCCUGAACCAGCCAAGUAGCGUGAGGGAAGACUGCCCGAUGGGUUGUAAACCUCUUUUGUCAGGGAGCAACGCCGGCUACGUGUAGCCGGACUGAGAGGACCUGAAGAAAAAGCACCGGCGAACUCCGUGCCAGCAGCCGCGGUAAUACGGAGGAUGCGAGCGUGAUCCGGAUUGAUUGGGUUUAAAGGGUGGGUUGGCGGAAUGCCAAGUCAGCGGUAAAAUCGCGGGGCUCACCCGCGCUCCGCCGUUGAAACUGGCGUUCUUGAGUGGGCGAGAGGUAUGCGGAAUGCGUGGUGUAGCGGUGAAAUGCAUAGAUAUCACGCAGAACUCCGAUUGCGAAGGCAGCAUACCGGCGCCCAACUGACGCUGACGCACGAAAGCGUGGGUAUCGAACAGGAUUAGAUACCCCUGUAGUC
rnacentral:rRNA from 1 species